UUGUUUUGUUCUCUCUUCUAUCAUCCGUUUGCUGGUUUGCAGGGUUUCUACAAGCAAUGACUUCGACACAAGGGUUCUUGAAGCCAUCACAUAAUAAUUCUUGGUACCUGUUUGACCGCCAUUACUUUUGGCAACCUCAGACCCACUCAAAUUAUGCCACCUGUUGACCCAUUAUCAAAGGAAGCCAAAUAUUUGUUCAGUUUACGUCGAUGGAGAGCUCUUCCUGUUCUCUUCCUUCACCGCAUCUCAUCGGUUACGAUGAGCGGCUAAGACAAGAGUAUGGUUAAAAACCAUAACAACGAGGCAUCUAGCAGCAAGAGUUCCAAGACACCUGACGACGCGGGUUCAUCAACAUGGC
rnacentral:lncRNA from 1 species